GACACUUUGGCCGAGUGGUUAAGGCGCAGGCCUGCUAUUCACCAGUCUUGCGACUGGUAUAGUAUAGCCUGUGGGUUCGCCCGCCUGGGUUCGAGUCCCAGAGGUGUCG
rnacentral:tRNA from 1 species